AUGGCUGCGCAGUCCUCUGCGCUCUCAACAGGUAUCUCUCUGGGAGUUCAGGUCCACCAGUCUCCCUCCGCUCUCAUCAGAAAGGCUGGUGACACUGUGCAGCUCGUCUGUGCCCACGGACAGACCGACUACACAGUGAUGCUGUGGUACCAGCAGUCACCCACAGACCAGGCUCUAAAACUCAUCGGAUAUGUGCAGCAGAGCCAAGUAUACUACGAAGAAUUGUACAAAGAGCAUUUCAAUAUCACCGGAGAUUUAAGUGGAAUCAAACCAAAGAAUGGUUCUCUAUUUAUAGUGGACCUGAGAGAGUCUGAGCACAGUGCCGUGUACUACUGUGCAGCUCGAUAUGCACACUGA